GCAGGUACUGGCACACAUACAGGGAACCUAUCUACUGGUACUUGCUCCUGGAUCCAUACUCUCCAUUGCUGAGGAAAGCAGAGGUCACCUCCCUCCCUGCAUCCAUGGUGAACACAAGGCAAGCCUUCUCUGGCUAUGAAGGGCAACUCGUGCAUCGGACCUGACGGUGAUGAUGAUGGUGGUAGAACAUGCACUGUGAAGACUCUGGCAAGUCAGAGAAGCAGAACAAGUUGCUGGCUUAAGGAUUUGGACAAUAACAAUUCUACCCCCAACAAAUAAUUAUAAUGCCGUCACUUCGUAGACCACUUUUCUGAUGUAGAGCAAGGAAGUUUGAGAGGAAGGGCACAGCCAUUCAAAUGUGUGCAUGUAUAAUAAGCACAGAGUCCUAAUAAUGAGUCACUAAGUAAUGGUAUUACCAGAUAGCCUUAUAAGUAGAUAUGCUGGGCCUUCUGGGUACAAUUGAUAAACAACACCACAACAUGGCAUCUGACAUCUAAUGUAAGAUGAAAAUCACUCUGAAUGAAGACUAAAUGAAAACAGAGGCAUGAGUAGUUAAUGUGGCCAAGUGGCCCAAAUUCCCUCCAUGGGGGAGAGGGGGGAAAGAAAGAGAGUCAGUGGUAUAGGCACUAAGACAGCAUGUACUGAACUCCUGCUGCCACAACCCACAAUACACCAGGUGUC